CAUAAUUCAUGCCUAUAUUUAUAAAUGGAAUAAAAUAGAACAAUUUUAAUACCCAAAAUUAACCUGGAAAAGCUAAGUUAAAAAUGAAACGAGCCAUAUAUAUUGCCGAUUAUUAUCAUAUUUUGAUAUCAGUGUUUUGCAGAUGAUUCUAAUCUAACAUAUCUGAAUCUUUUAUUCUUUUUUGUGAAACUGACUUGCUUGCAUCUUAUGGCUGGAGUCAGUAUAAAUUUCUUAGAACUUAUCAAUCCAACGAAUAUACUUCUAAAAGAUAUUACAUUAGCCUUGCACAACCUGCAGUUAUAAUCAAAACACUUAAUCAACGUAGCUCAAGCAUGUCUAUUUAAGAUGUUAAAUAUGUUUUGGUAAAUUACUUUGCAAAUAAAAUUCUAAAUACAAUGGUUUGGCAUUAUGAUAAAGAAUAAGACAAUUUACAAGCGAAAAUAAAUUUGACUGAUGUGUCCAGGUACACUCAUACUAGAUACGAUGAGCAUUGAUUUGAAACACCAGUAUAAUAUACCGAGACAUUAAAAGACAAACGUAGUGGCCAUGCAAAAAUAUUGCUGCAACGUCUGUCCAGUUAUCACUCGGAUUCAAUUAAGAUUUGUUUAAUUCCAAUACUCACAAAGCUUGUGAUGAACAAUAUUUUUCGUAAUUUCAACCGUUCUGCAUACUUUACACGACAUUGAUUUACAAAGUGUAAAUUCAUCUUCAAAGAAAAGUAGGAAAAUAAAAGAAAGGAAGAAAACACUGUUCAUGCAUUUUUUCAAAAUUGUUGCAAAAAAUCUAAUAAAUUUAUUUGGCUAUCAAAUGCUAAAUCAUAAAUACUCGUGUGUUAGCGGUUCAGUGUAUAACAAGUCAAUCACAAUGCUUAUUUAUAUAUCGUUUGAUUGUAAAAUCAUUACAUACAGUAGG
rnacentral:lncRNA from 1 species